rnacentral:rRNA from 1 species
GGGCCCGCACAAGCAGUGGAGCAUGUGGUUUAAUUCGAUGCAACGCGAAGAACCUUACCCAGGCUUGACAUAUAGAGGACCGCUCUAGAGAUAGAGUUUCCCGCAAGGGCCUCUAUACAGGUGCUGCAUGGCUGUCGUCAGCUCGUGCCGUGAGGUGUUGGGUUAAGUCCCGCAACGAGCGCAACCCUUGUCGUUAGUUACCAACACGUAAUGGUGGGGACUCUAACGAGACUGCCUAGGUUAACUAGGAGGAAGGUGAGGAUGACGUCAAGUCCGCAUGGCCUUUAUGUCUGGGGCUACACACGUGCUACAAUGGUCGGUACAGAAAGCAGCCACUAUGCGAAUAGGAGCUAAUCUUUAAAACCGAUCUCAGUUCGGAUCGCAGUCUGCAACUCGACUGCGUGAAGCUGGAAUCGCUAGUAAUCGG